rnacentral:rRNA from 1 species
UACGUAGGGGGCAAGCGUUGUCCGGAAUCAUUGGGCGUAAAGGGCGCGUAGGCGGAUACUUAAGUCUGGUGUGAAAACCUAGGGCUCAACCCUGGGACUGCAUCGGAAACUGGGUAUCUUGAGGACAGGAGAGGAAAGUGGAAUUCCACGUGUAGCGGUGAAAUGCGUAGAUAUGUGGAGGAACACCAGUGGCGAAGGCGACUUUCUGGACUGUAACUGACGCUGAGGCGCGAAAGCGUGGGGAGCAAACAGGAUUAGAUACCCUGGUAGUCCACGCCGUAAACGAUGAGUGCUAGGUGUAGAGGGUAUCGACCCCUUCUGUGCCGCAGUUAACACACUAAGCACUCCGCCUGGGGAGUACGGCCGCAAGGUUGAA